rnacentral:tRNA from 1 species
AAGAUUUUAAGUUAUUUAAACUAAUGCCCUUCAAAGGCCUAAAAAAAAGUCAAACUCUUUUAAAUCUUA